AACUAACGCUGGCGGCGUGCCUAACACAUGCAAGUCGUACGAGAAAGUCCCGUUCGCGGGAUGAGUAAAGUGGCGCACGGGCGAGUAAUGCGUGGAUAAUCUGCCCUUUAGUUGGGAAUAACGUGCCGAAAGGUGCGCUAAUACCCGAUAAUACUGCACAACUACUGUUGUGUAGUCAAAGAAGGCCUCUGUUUACAAGCUUUUGCUGAAGGAUGAGUCCGCGUACCAUUAGCUGGUUGGUGGGGUAAUGGCCUACCAAGGCUACGAUGGUUAGCUGGUCUGAGAGGAUGAUCAGCCACACUGGAACUGAGACACGGUCCAGACUCCUACGGGAGGCAGCAGUGAGGAAUAUUGCGCAAUGGGGGCAACCCUGACGCAGCAACGCCGCGUGAGUGAGGAAGGUUUUCGGACCGUAAAGCUCUGUCGAGCGGGAAGAAAUGCAUGGUGGCUAAUAUCCAUCAUGCUUGACGGUACCGCUAAAGGAAGCACC
rnacentral:rRNA from 1 species